rnacentral:rRNA from 1 species
CUUGUUCUUUAAUUGAGGACUAGUAUGAACGGCACCACGAAGGUUAUACUGUCUCCUCUCUCUAAUCAGUGAAACUAAUUUCCCCGUGAAGAAGCAGGGAUAAAUUUAUAAGACGAGAAGACCCUAUGGAGCUUUAAACAUAACAACAACUGCCCCGCUCCAAUUUAUAUUUCCCGAAAAAUUAUUUACCCGAGCAUUCUGAUUGUGCGUUUUAGGUUGGGGUGAUCGCGGAGCAAAAAAUAACCUCCACACUGGAAGGGACCUUCCCUAAGCCCCGGGCCACAACCCCAAGAAUCAACAAAUUGACACCCGUUGACCCAAUAUUUUGACCAAUGAACCAAGUUACCCUAGGGAUAACAGCGCAAUCCACUUUAAGAGCUCCUAUCGACAAGUGGGUUUACGACCUCGAUGUUGGAUCAGGGUUUCCUAGUGGUGUAGCCGCUGCUGAAGGCUCGUUUGUUCAACGAUUAAAACCCUACGUGAUC